rnacentral:lncRNA from 1 species
AGCUGAGUCAGUGAAGCACUUAAAGGGGCCGAGGCCAGGAGGAGCCGCCGUUACUUCCCUUCUCGCCGCUCUCCCGACUUUUCACCGAGGCACGACUCUUCCCCCUUACCCACUCACCCCCACUUCUCCAUCCAGCAAAGCCCCGACCAGAAUUGGGUCUCUUGGCGCCAGACGUUCGCAGCUGCAGCACCAAGCAAAGUUAUCAUUUUAGAAUUCAGGGGAGAGGAAUUCGUCAUUCCACACAAACUCGCUGACCGACCUGGGCGUUUAGCCCACAGAAACACAGAAAACGGAAACCGAGCCCUCUAAUCUUAGUUACCUUUAAGAGAGGCCUUAAUUUCUUUUAACCAGGUUUCCAGUGGGAAGAAUAAGCAGCAUCUCCUUUUAAAAUCUCAGCUCUCAAACAGAUUUUUGUUACUAUUUUGUACUGGCAAGGCCUAAGACCCAACCAAAUCCCGUUUUCUCUUUAACUGCGGCUCGUAACCUCCGCCAGAGUGGGUUCUGUAGUCGAGGUGAGACAGGGUUCGGGCUCAAAGAAAUCCUCUCCGGGGACAGCAGCAGCCAGUCCACCGACCUGGAAACCUAAAUCCCUCCGAAACGGGCAUGCAGACUCAGACUUUUUGCCUCCCUCCCCGGGCUGCUUGUUUUCCAUUUAAGUAUUGAAUGCAAGAUGGUGUAUUUGCGAAUUAGAUCCCGUGCAGCUGGGAACGACGAGAAGCGGCUCUGCUUGCCAAACGAUAGGGCACUAACUGCAAUUGCUGAGAUUCUUAACAGGGUGUUCCAGGAAACAAAUAAACAAACAAUCCUCUCCCCUCUCCGCCCCCUUACCCCCUCCUGUGAAGGCCGUGGGGCGGCUCUAUCUUCUCUCCGGGGAUGCUGGGGGCCUGUGACGGAGCUCUGUUCUCGUCCUGCUGGAGUGCCCUGCCAUUCACGCCGCGUGCCAGCGGUGGGGAGGAAAGAUGCUAAGUGACAGGAGAGAGCCCCUAGCAAUGGGGGUCCCACGGUGGCCAACUCUGGGGCAGUUCCUGCCCCUGCCACCCCCACACUUAAGUCAAAGGUUCUUUCCUAUCUCCACUUGUGUCUCUUAAACAGAGCGGACACUUGGUCUGUCGUUUAUAGCCCUUGAAAUGUUGGCGUGCCCCUAAGCAACCUGCAGCACCCGUGUUGAGUCCUGGGCUCAGCACUGACCAGGCACGCUGGAGCUGUUGACUUUGGAAGACUGAAAUGGGCAUGAGUUGAUGGAUGGAAAGUACUCUGAACAUGUGGUACCGUUUCUGUUUGGUGGCUGGAGAUCUUACACUAGUACAGUUGUGCUCUGAGCUUAUUGCUGACAUUCCUGAGAGCUCUAUCUCCCUAGCUAGAUGAAGGGCCCAGGUAAGCUCCCAGAUCCUCCUCCUCCCCAAUUUUGUCUACCCCCACUCCCGCUCCUCCCCAUCCCAUCCCAUGACAUCCUGCUCUCUAAACUCAUUUUUCCAAAGGAGCUUUCUUACUCCUCUUCCCUUAAGUCUCUCAGGCCCCAGCCCUCCGGAAGGCUUACAGCCCACAGAGCCA